rnacentral:rRNA from 1 species
GUGGCGAACGGGUGAGUAACACGUGAGCAAUCUGCCCUUGACUCUGGGAUAACUGCGGGAAACUGUAGCUAAUACCGGAUACUUUCCUCGCUGGGCAUCCAGCAGGGAAGAAAGAAUUUCGGUCAAGGAUGAGCUCGCGGCCUAUCAGCUAGUUGGUGAGGUAAAGGCUCACCAAGGCGACGACGGGUAGCCGGCCUGAGAGGGUGACCGGCCACACUGGAACUGAGACACGGUCCAGACUCCUACGGGAGGCAGCAGUGGGGAAUAUUGCACAAUGGGCGAAAGCCUGAUGCAGCAACGCCGCGUGAGGGAUGAAGGCCUUCGGGUUGUAAACCUCUUUUAGCAGGGAAGAAGCGAAAGUGACGGUACCUGCAGAAAAAGCACCGGCUAACUACGUGCCAGCAGCCGCGGUAAUACGUAGGGUGCAAGCGUUGUCCGGAAUUAUUGGGCGUAAAGAGCUCGUAGGCGGUUUGUCACGUCUGCUGUGAAAAUCCGAGGCUCAACCUCGGACUUGCAGUGGGUACGGGCAGGCUAGAGUGCGGUAGGGGAGAAGGGAAUUCCUGGUGUAGCGGUGGAAUGCGCAGAUAUCAGGAGGAACACCAAUGGCGAAGGCACUUCUCUGGGCCGUAACUGACGCUGAGGAGCGAAAGCGUGGGGAGCGAACAGGAUUAGAUACCCUGGUAGUCCAC